GUAGUCCACGCCCUAAACGAUGUCGACUGGUUGUUGGGGGUUUGACACUCUCAGUAACGAAGCUAACGCGUGAAGUCGACCGCCUGGGGAGUACGGCCGCAAGGUUAAAACUCAAAGGAAUUGACGGGGACCCGCACAAGCGGUGGAUUAUGUGGAUUAAUUCGAUGCAACGCGAAAAACCUUACCUACCCUUGACAUGUCCGAAAGCCUGAAGAGAUUUGGGUGUGCCCGAAAGGGAAUCGGAACACAGGUGCUGCAUGGCUGUCGUCAGCUCGUGUCGUGAGAUGUUGGGUUAAGUCCCGCAACGAGCGCAACCCUUGUCAUUAGUUGCUACAUUCAGUUGGGCACUCUAAUGAGACUGCCGGUGACAAACCGGAGGAAGGUGGGGAUGACGUCAAGUCCUCAUGGCCCUUAUGGGUAGGGCUUCACACGUAAUACAAUGGCGCGUACAGAGGGUUGCCAAGGAGCGAUCUGGAGCCAAUCCCGCAAAGCGCGUCGUAGUCCGGAUUGGAGUCUGCAACUCGACUCCAUGAAGUCGGAGUCGCUAGUAAUCGCGGAUCAGUAUGUCGCGGUGAAUACGUUCCCGGGUCUUGUACACACCGCCCGUCACACCAUGGGAGUGGGUUUCACCAGAAGCCGGUCGCUUAACCCGCAAGGGAUGGCGCCGACCACGGUGAGAUUCAUGACUGGGGUG
rnacentral:rRNA from 1 species